UGUUUCCAUGACACCCCAGACCCAAGCAUCUCUCCAGGCCGAGAAAGUCACGACCUGCCGAGGCUCCAGUCACGGCUGAGGAGUUGAUUGACAUUCAGGACCCUUUGGACUUUCUCGCCAAGUACUGUAUCAUCAAUCCUGAUCGUCUGCCAUUCUAUGAGAUUGUGUUCGAAUCCACAUUAGAAGAACAGACCCCACGCUACACUAAGCCCUCGCCGGAACAGCCCUUAGCUCAAAACGAGCAGUGUACCCAGGAUGAGCAGCUGUCUCAGGACUCAACUCAAGCGGAGCUGCCAAAUGAGAAGAAGAAGAAAAAAGGUAAAUCUAGAGCUAAGACACCUGUCAAGAGAACCAACGCCCAAGCGCCAAUCAAUCCACAGCUAUUACCCACAGAGAGGGGACUAAACAUUGAGA
rnacentral:sRNA from 1 species